rnacentral:rRNA from 1 species
AUGGCUCAGGACGAACGCUGGCGGCGUGCUUAACACAUGCAAGUCGAGCGAUGAAGCUCUUCGGAAGUGGAUUAGCGGCGGACGGGUGAGUAACACGUGGGUAACCUGCCUCAUAGAGGGGAAUAGCUUCCGAAAGGAAGAUUAAUACCGCAUAAGAUUGUAAUAUCGCAUGAUAUAGCAAUUAAAGGAGUAAUCCGCUAUGAGAUGGACCCGCGUCGCAUUAGCUAGUUGGUGAGGUAACGGCUCACCAAGGCGACGAUGCGUAGCCGACCUGAGAGGGUGAUCGGCCACAUUGGGACUGAGACACGGCCCAGACUCCUACGGGAGGCAGCAGUGGGGAAUAUUGCACAAUGGGGGAAACCCUGAUGCAGCAACGCCCGCGUGAGUGAUGACGAUCUUCGGAUUGUAAAGCUCUGUCUUCAGGGACGAUAAUGACGGUACCUGAGGAGGAAGCCACGGCUAACUACGUGCCAGCAGCAGC